UGCUCACUUUGGCGGUAAAAUACUAAAAUUAGAAUGAUGCAAAGAAGAUUAACAUGGCCCCUGUACAACACAAAUUCUCAAAGCUUUCUAUAUUAAU
rnacentral:snRNA from 1 species